AACUAAAAAUUCAAGUUGAAAAUUUAAAUAUACCACUUAAAACCUUUAUAGUAUUAAGAAUAUAAAAUUUUCCUUAAAAAAAUAGUAUUGAAUGUUCAGGCCAAUUUUACUCCCCUG
rnacentral:rRNA from 13 species